AUGGACUUCGGCGACCACCAGCAGGGGGGCUCCGACAGCCAGCAGCAGCUGCAGGAGCGCCGGAAGCGCCAACGCCGCCACACACCGGAGCAGGUCCAGAAGUUGGAGGAGUCGUACAAGAAGUCCGAUCACCCCAGUGAGAUCGAGUGCGCUCAGCUUGGACGCGAGCUUGGUCUGGAGACCAAGCAGAUUGAGCACGAGCGGCUGGAGAAUCGCUUCCUCCGCUGGGAGAACAUGAGUCUCCGGUCCGAGAUCAUGGCCGUGCGGGAGGCGCUCAAGAACUCCGCUACCUGCCCCAACUGCGUCGGCGUCGCCAAGGACUGCAUCGACCAGCAGGAGCUCAAUCGGGAGAACGCUCGCCUCAAUGCGGGGCUCCUCCACUGCACCACAUCUUUCCAAGAGGAGCCCUAG
rnacentral:rRNA from 1 species